rnacentral:lncRNA from 1 species
GGUCACCUGUGUGUGCGCUGAGGUAGGGGUGUGUGUGUGAAUGUGUGUGUGUGUGCCUUAGUGUGGUGAUCCAAGCAAAUCCUGUUUUCGGGUUUGCAGAUUGACUGAACGCAUUGGCCCUUUGACAUUCCACUCUCCCAUAAACUCCCCCCAUCCAUGGUGUGCAACUUACUAUAAUACCUCAUGCAAAUCUAAGUAUCUAACUAUUUCCUCACUCCUGAGAAAGUUGAAAACAGGAUGGUACUAUGCCUUCACACUCUUGGUCUGUUUCCAGCAUGGAAGAAUUAAGCUAAUGCAGCCAAAAGAAACCAGAUGUGACCUUAGGACAUCCUGAAACCGGCCAUUCAGUAUAGCAACGUUAAUCAGCUGAAUUAAGGGCCUGGAAUUUAAGGGAUAAUUUUGUUUUACACUGUUAGUACCAACUACCUGCUUUAAGGCAGACACAAAAGACAGAAUUAUCCCUUCCCCUCCUUUAACUUAACGUUAAGUUUCGUUUUUCCAAAUGUAAAGUCAGUUGGGCCCAUUUAUGCCUUUUCCCCAGCCUCUGGGACAUCUCUGCCCUUGAUAUUCAUGGUGUAAAUAGCUUGAGCUCUGUGCCUUGAGACCAGUAUGAUAAAUCCUUUACUAAAGGGAACCUUGGAUCUUCAGUUUCUCAAGACCAUAGCUGGGGUUAUAAGCUUAUCAUUUGUCACAAGUAGCUUCAUCAAAGAUUCAGUUAUUAAACUUGUCCCAAACUUUGCCUCUGGAACAUUCUUUCUUUUUAGCCUGUCCCCCAAAUUUGUUCACUGAAUCUUUUUGUCUUUCUUGGCCAAUUUUCCAGAGUCUCUCUUUGGUCGUCCCUGGGUAGCAUGGCCAACCUCAGAGGGCAACACUGACCACUACAGCAUUACUAACAGCCUGGGCCUCCUUUGACUUAAAGAAGGACAUUUUCAUGCAUGGGGUUGUAGCUCAGUGGUAGAGCCCUUGCCUAGCAUGUGUGAGGCCCUGGGUUCGAUUCUCA